GGGGUGCACGGGAGUUGUGGUGUUCCUUCACGGCGCCAGUUUCUUCUUCCACCUCCUUACCCAUCACCUUGCUCUUCGAUCUCUCAGUUUUCUGGGAUUUGUUGGGUGGUAGAGAAGCAAACAAAAGUAUAAGAGCUGCAGAGAUGAUAGAUUGGUCGCCGCCCCGCAUGUUGUUCUGUUUAUGAAGUAUAGGAGGACACCCCAAUAUUUCCAAGCAGUGGUUAAUUAUCUUUUAGUUUAGUUUAAUUAGCAUAUGAUGAUAUGAUCAUCUUGUAAUUAAUGCCAAAUAUGAUAAUAAAGCUCAAGAAAGGUAAAGCCUUUUCAUUGAGGGCUAGCUUUUGAGCUAAACCAUCUUGUCAAUUUUGAUAUCCUUCUAAGCUAAUGCAAGUUGCAAGUUGCAACACA